rnacentral:rRNA from 1 species
AGACCCGAAACCCGGUGAUCUAGCCAUGGGCAGGUUGAAGGUUGGGUAACACUAACUGGAGGACCGAACCGACUAAUGUUGAAAAAUUAGCGGAUGACCUGUGGCUGGGGGUGAAAGGCCAAUCAAACCGGGAGAUAGCUGGUUCUCCCCGAAAGCUAUUUAGGUAGCGCCUCGUGAAUUCAUCUCCGGGGGUAGAGCACUGUUUCGGCUAGGGGGCCAUCCCGGCUUACCAACCCGAUGCAAACUGCGAAUACCGGAGAAUGUUAUCACGGGAGACACACGGCGGGUGCUAACGUCCGUCGUGAAGAGGGAAACAACCCAGACCGCCAGCUAAGGUCCCAAAGUCAUGGUUAAGUGGGAAACGAUGUGGGAAGGCCCAGACAGCCAGGAUGUUGGCUUAGAAGCAGCCAUCAUUUAAAGAAAGCGUAAUAGCUCACUGGUCGAGUCGGCCUGCGCGGAAGAUGUAACGGGGCUAAACCAUGCACCGAAGCUGCGGCAGCGACACUGUGUGUUGUUGGGUAGGGGAGCGUUCUGUAAGCCUGUGAAGGUGUGUCGUGAGGCAUGCUGGAGGUAUCAGAAGUGCGAAUGCUGACAUAAGUAACGAUAAAGCGGGUGAAAAGCCCGCUCGCCGGAAGACCAAGGGUUCCUGUCCAACGUUAAUCGGGGCAGGGUGAGUCGACCCCUAAGGCGAGGCCGAAAGGCGUAGUCGAUGGGAAACGGGUUAAUAUUCCCGUACUUGGUGUUACUGCGAAGGGGGGACGGAGAAGGCUAUGUUGGCCGGGCGACGGUUGUCCCGGUUUAAGCGUGUAGGUGUGUGUUCCAGGUAAAUCCGGUUCACUUUAACACUGAGGCGUGACGACGAGGCACUACGGUGCUGAAGCAACAAAUGCCCUGCUUCCAGGAAAAGCCUCUAAGCAUCAGGUAACAUCAAAUCGUACCCCAAACCGACACAGGUGGUCAGGUAGAGAAUACCAAGGCGCUUGAGAGAACUCGGGUGAAGGAACUAGGCAAAAUGGUGCCGUAACUUCGGGAGAAGGCACGCUGACACGUAGGUGAAGUGAUUUACUCAUGGAGCUGAAGUCAGUCGAAGAUACCAGCUGGCUGCAACUGUUUAUUAAAAACACAGCACUGUGCAAACACGAAAGUGGACGUAUACGGUGUGACGCCUGCCCGGUGCCGGAAGGUUAAUUGAUGGGGUCAGCGCAAGCGAAGCUCCUGAUCGAAGCCCCGGUAAACGGCGGCCGUAACUAUAACGGUCCUAAGGUAGCGAAAUUCCUUGUCGGGUAAGUUCCGACCUGCACGAAUGGCGUAAUGAUGGCCAGGCUGUCUCCACCCGAGACUCAGUGAAAUUGAACUCGCUGUGAAGAUGCAGUGUACCCGCGGCAAGACGGAAAGACCCCGUGAACCUUUACUAUAGCUUGACACUGAACAUUGAGCCUUGAUGUGUAGGAUAGGUGGGAGGCUUUGAAGUGUGGACGCCAGUCUGCAUGGAGCCGACCUUGAAAUACCACCCUUUAAUGUUUGAUGUUCUAACGUGGACCCGUUACCCGGGUUGCGGACAGUGUCUGGUGGGUAGUUUGACUGGGGCGGUCUCCUCCUAAAGAGUAACGGAGGAGCACGAAGGUUGGCUAAUCCUGGUCGGACAUCAGGAGGUUAGUGCAAUGGCAUAAGCCAGCUUGACUGCGAGCGUGACGGCGCGAGCAGGUGCGAAAGCAGGUCAUAGUGAUCCGGUGGUUCUGAAUGGAAGGGCCAUCGCUCAACGGAUAAAAGGUACUCCGGGGAUAACAGGCUGAUACCGCCCAAGAGUUCAUAUCGACGGCGGUGUUUGGCACCUCGAUGUCGGCUCAUCACAUCCUGGGGCUGAAGUAGGUCCCAAGGGUAUGGCUGUUCGCCAUUUAAAGUGGUACGCGAGCUGGGUUUAGAACGUCGUGAGACAGUUCGGUCCCUAUCUGCCGUGGGCGCUGGAGAACUGAGGGGGGCUGCUCCUAGUACGAGAGGACCGGAGUGGACGCAUCACUGGUGUUCGGGUUGUCAUGCCAAUGGCACUGCCCGGUAGCUAAAUGCGGAAGAGAUAAGUGCUGAAAGCAUCUAAGCACGAAACUUGCCCCGAGAUGAGUUCUCCCUGAGACUUAAAGUCUCCUGAAGGAACGUUGAAGACGACGACGUUGAUAGGCCGGGUGUGUAAGCGCAGCGAUGCGUUGAGCUAACCGGUACUAAUGAACCGUGAGGCUUAACCUUACAAC